CGACGCAAGAUAGGCUCAUGGCACCCGAGCGACGCAAGAUAAACGCAUGGCGCCUAGAGGCGGGGAAGCUGGACGUGGACGCCUGAGCGCCAGAGGUCCUAAGGGCGGCCUACAGGAUUGUCAGUUUGCCUAUCGGGCGUCCAUGUCACCAGAGGCACGAAAGGCAAACUAAAUUCGUUCCUGAUGACAGCAAAAGCUCAGAUUUGAAAUCUAGUGUCAUUUUGGCAUUCGAGUUGUAGUCUGUAGAGGUGUAUUCAAGUGUAGCUUUAGCUUAAGUUCCUUAGAACAGGACGUCAUAGAGGAUGAGAACCCCAUUAAUGGCCUUUGUCUUAUGCUCAUAUAAAUCUCCUUCAAUGAGUCGAGUUGUUUGGGAAUGCAGCUCUAAAUGGGUGGUAAAUUCCAUCUAAAGCUAAAUACUGGCAAGAGACCGAUAGCGCACAAGUAGAGUGAUCGAAAGAGGAAAAGAACUCUAAAUAGAGAGUUAUAUAGUACAUGAAACUGUUGAAAGGGAAGUACUUGUAAUCAAACACACUUGUAGCCGAUCAAUUCUCAUUUUUGAGGGUGCACUUGGUUGUCUGUAGGUUAGUAUCAGUUAUAGUAGUAGGAAAAAGACUUAGGGAAUAUAGCUUCUUUCAGGGAGUGUUAUAGCCUUUUGUGCAAUACUGCCUGCUGUGACUGAGGACCGCGCUUUGGCGAGGAUGCUGGCAUAAUGGUUGUAAGUGACCCGUCUUGAAAUACGGACUAAGGAGUCUAACAUCUAUAUGAGUAUUUGGGUGUGCAAACCUUUAUAUGAAAUGAAAGUAAAUAGAGUUAGGAACUACAAGGUGCACCAUCGACCGAUGUAGAUGUUUUCAGAUGGAUUUGAGUGGGAGCAUAGCUGUUAGGACCCGAAAAAUGGUGAACUAUACCUGAAUAGGGUAAAGCUAGAGGAAACUCUAGUGGAGGCUCGCAGUGGUUCUGACAUACAAAUGGAUUAACAAAUUUGGGUAUAGAGGCGAAAGACUAAUCGAACUAUCUAGUAGCUAGUUCUGGCUGAAGUUUCCCUCAGGAUAGCAGUAACGAUUAAUAGUUUUAUGAGGUAAAGCGAAUGAUUAGAGGCCUUGGGGUUGGAACAACCUUAACUUAUUCUCAAACUUUGAAUAUAUAAGAAGUUUCUAUUACUUAGUUGAACGUGGAUAUUGGAAUAUACGUUACUAGUGGGCCAUUUUUGGUAAGCAGAACUGGCAAUACGGGAUGAACCGAAUGCGAGGUUAAGGUGCUAGAAUGCGUGCUCAUCAGACACUACAAAAGGUGUUAGUUUAUCUAGACAGCAGGAUAGUGGCCAUAGAAGUUGGAUUCCACUAAUGAGUAUGUAAUAACUUACCUGCCGAAUGAACUAGCCCUCAAAAUGGAUGGCACUUAAGCGUGCUACCUAUAUCUUGCCGCCAUGAUAGACACUAUGCCAUGGCGAGUAGGCUGGCAUAGAGGUCUGUGACGAAGCCUUGGGAGUAAUCCUAGAUGGCAUGGCCUCUAGUGCAGAUCUUGGUGGUAGUAGCAAAUACUCAAAUGAGAACUUUGAGGACUGAAGUGGGGAAGGGUUCCAUGUGAACAGCAGUUGGCCAUGGGUUAGUCGAUCCUAAGAGAUAGGGAAACUCCGUUUUAAAAUGCCUGAUUCAUCAGGUAAUCCCUCGAAAGGGCAGCCGGUUAAUAUUCUGGUACCUGGAUAUAGAAUUUUCAUAGUAACAUAACUGAACCUGGAGACAUCGACAGAGGGCUCGGGAAGAGUUAUCUUUUCUUCUUAACAGUCUAAUCACCCUGGAAUCGGUUUGUCCGGAGAUAGGGUACUCUGACUGGAAGAGCACAGUACUUUUGCUGUGUCCGGUAUCCUUUUGACGGCCCUUGAAAAUCCGGGGGAAGGAAUAAUUUUCACGCCAGGUCGUACCCAUAACCGCAGCAGGUCUCCAAGGUGAAUAGCAUCUAGUUAAUAGAAUAAUGUAGAUAAGGGAAGUCGGCAAAAUAGAUCCGUAACUUCGGGAAAAGGAUUGGCUCUAAGGGUUGGGUGUACAGGGCCUUGGUGCAAAGCACUCGGAGUGGGGAGGGGCUAGACCUUGCGUCCGGACUCUCCUAUGCACUGGGUGUGGCGGGCUUUGGCUGGUUUCGGCCUUCUUGUGCAUGCUUAACAACCAACUUAGAACUGGUAUGGACUGGGGGAAUCUGACUAUCUAAUUAAAACAUAGCAUUCUGAUGAUCAGAAAGUGAUGUUGACGCAAUGUGAUUUCUGCCCAGUGCUCUGAAUGUCAAAGUGAAGUGAUUUAACCAAGCGCGGGUAAACGGCGAGAGUAACUAUAAUUCUCUUAAGCUAGCCAAAUACCUCAUCAUCUAAUUAGUGAUGCAUAUAAAUGGAUUAAUGAGAUUCCCACUGUCCCUAUUUACUAUCUAGGGAAAUCACAGCCAAGGGAAUGGGCUUGGCAAAAUCAGCAGGGAAAGAAGACCCUAUUGAGCUUGACUCUAGUUUGACAUUGUGAAAAGACAUAGGGGGUGUAGAAUAGGUGGGAGCUUCAAAGUUUUUUUGGUAUGGGGUGUCGUGAAUAAAGUAUAUAUAUAUGACCUUGAAUUCCCACUUGAAGUAAUAUCAUCGAAUUCCCCAAUAAACCUCUUUUGACUAUAGUUUAUCCUAUAAACCAUCCUUGUUUUUUGAUUAUAUAGUCACCAGAAAUGUCACACAGAAGUGCCACUCCUAUUGAAUUAAGUGAGGAUGAAGUGAGAUGGGUAACAAUAUAUCUUUGUCACGCAUAUAUAUUGUUGAUUGAAGAUAAAUUAAAUACCCCAUAUACAAUGAUUAGCCAGUUGUAACGUGGCGCGAGGGGCUGAGGGGCCAAGGGGUACGGGCGAGGCAGAAGGCGGAAGCGGAGAGCCGGUGAGGCAGAGGACGAAGGCAGAGGCGAAGGCGAAGGCGGAGGUGAGGACGGAGGCCAAGGCAAGGCAAGGCAAAGGCGGAGU
rnacentral:rRNA from 1 species